GAUGAACGCUGGCGGCGUGCCUAAUACAUGCAAGUCGAGCGAACAGACGAGGAGCUUGCUCCUCUGACGUUAGCGGCGGACGGGUGAGUAACACGUGGAUAACCUACCUAUAAGACUGGGAUAACUUCGGGAAACCGGAGCUAAUACCGGAUAAUAUAUUGAACCGCAUGGUUCAAUAGUGAAAGACGGUUUUGCUGUCACUUAUAGAUUGAUCCGCGCCGCAUUAGCUAGUUGGUAAGGUAACGGCUUACCAAGGCAACGAUGCGUAGCCGACCUGAGAGGGUGAUCGGCCGACCUGGAACUGAGACACGGUCCAGACUCCUACGGGAGGCAGCAGUAGGGAAUCUUCCGCAAUGGGCGAAAGCCUGACGGAGCAACGCCGCGUGAGUGAUGAAGGUCUUCGGAUCGUAAAACUCUGUUAUUAGGGAAGAACAAAUGUGUAAGUAACUAUGCACGUCUUGACGGUACCUAAUCAGAAAGCCACGGCUAACUACGUG
rnacentral:rRNA from 1 species